GUACAUUACCUUUUGAAAGGUUUCCAUCAUAUGUAAGACACAAAAGUUAAAUAAUGAACAUUGGUUUUUCGUGUACUGAGCUUGUUUUUUGUUUUUCCUUGUUUUUCAUUCACGGGAAAACCGAGCUUAUCGUUCCUACGCUCGGCCAUGGAACUGUUCUGGAACUUGCCGUGGGAAUGACUGGCUACUCAGCCAUGGUCCUGCCCCUUUCCUUGAGAAUCCAGUCGAAACUUCUAGGAUACAAGCUGAAUAAAAACACAGAAAUGUUCAUUCUCAUGCUAGGAAUGUACAUGUACUUAAUCACAUCGAUCGUGGAAUUUUACACCUUGUUUCAGACAAUAAUGUCAAAAUCAUUAAUAGUCAAACCGAAUCAUAACUUGCUCGUAAUUUUGAAGAUUUUCUUUUCUCUCACGUUGGCAAUGGUUUUGGUCAUGGACGCCAACCGUGUGACAAACAGUUCAGUACGAAAAUAAGAGCGGGCACAUUACAAAACUAAAAAUACACUUUUUCAACACAAAAACACCUUUUUUCCUUAGUUUGAUAUGUUUCUUAUAUUUGACAUACUUUUUAAUUUGUAAAAAAAUUAAACAUGUGUUUGUUUUCUUGUGGUUCGUACUAGCCAAUAAACCAUGUAUGACUACCAAAACCUUUCUAUUUACUUGAAAAUCACGGAAUUCAUGAUGAGCAUUAUUGUAAGUUCGUUUCAUAUAAAGACUGAAUUUUCAAUUCCACAAAUCGGCUACGGCACGAAUCUCAAUCUUUUAAUCCUCUCAACUUCUUUUUCUGCUAUGAUCGUCCCCUUCGCCGUUAGGAUCCAAGCUUCUAUAGUUAAAGAUUUUCCGUUUGAGCCCAUCACUGAAUUGUUAUUUACUGUAGCCGGGACGAUGUGUUACGCGGCGGGUGGCCUCGUAACGAUAAUGGAGUGGCGGAACAAACAGUCACUGGACACCGUUUUCUUCAGAACUACUUUCAACGAAAUAUUUUUAGCGAAAGGUAUAAUUUCUUCUCUUCUAAGUUUAAUCGUUAUGGUCGACAUCUACGUAGAAUAUAAAUAUUCCAAGGGAAGACUCGAUUCGCUUUAUUAAACAAUUUUAUUGGUCAUCUGAGUGUUAUGAAUGUUUGUUAAAAAAAAUGUGACGUUAUAAAUAUAUAUUUGAAGGAAUAUUUACAAUGUUUUAACUGAAAUGAUACAACUUUGUUGUGGUUUGUUUAAACUUCAUCGCUCAUCAAAACAAAGUAGGCGUCGAUGCAGAAACCAGCAGCGAGGAGAAUAGACGAUAUGCCUUUUAUGAGUAGUAUCUCUGUGAAAAACCGCCUGAAUAUAACAGCGCGCACUUUUUGCGUCCUCAUCCAACAUUGGAUCGUGACGGCAGAAGCGACCAAGUAGACCAUGAAUCCCAUGAACAACAAAGCACACUCCUAGAACUGCAAGAAUUAAUAACUGCGGACAGGAUUUAUUAGUAAAAUUUCUAAAUUUUUCUUACCGCGACUUUCCCCACGCCGGGUCUGAGAAUGGAAGACUGCAGCCUGAGCGCCACAGGGAUGAUCAUAGCAGAAUAGACAGUCAUCAUAGCGGCAACCUCCCACUGAGUUCCGUACCCGAGCGACGGCACUACGAACUCCGUUUUAGUGUGUGCCACCAUCAAAAGUAUAAUAACUGCCUGAAAAAACGUUCCAUCCUCGACACUCAAAUACAUUCCUACAGAUAUACAACUUACCAGUUCAAACAGCCUGAAGAAUACGAGAACCUUGUCUGAUUCAUAGUAGUUGUUGCUCUCACUUUCAGUCAUCUCAAAGGGAAAAAAACCCGGCUAUUUUAUUCAAGAAGUUAACCUUUUUUCAAAUUACGAACAGUCGGACAUUAACACCGGCUUCCAUAUGAUUUCAUAAAAUAUAUUUACCAAAAGAAAAAUUGUUCUAUUUAUUUCAACUAAAAGCUUUAAAAAAAUAAGAAUAAAAAGAUAUGCUUUUUGGGCAUAGGUGCUUGGUUUGCGUACGCGUUGCCCAGACGGUAACUGAGUUUUGUAACAUAAAAAAUUCUAUAUUUAACGAAAAAAAGUGUGUUUCAAGACUUUGGCGAUUGUACUUAUCAUGUACCACCUCGGCGAAAAACUGGACACAGACGAGUACCCGACAGAAUUCCAUAUGAAGGCCAUGACGACCACGUACUCGACGAUGAUAAUUCCGACGACGUUUCGUUUCGAGCUGGAUCUAUUCGAACUUCAAGACAUGGGGAUCUUACUUAACUUAUACGUGAACACACUUGGGACUUUGAUGUAUUUCGGUGCGUGCUUUUUCACCGUUUCCGCCACGGCGGGCCUCUACGUCGUAGAACGGAACGACUACAAUAUCGCCGAAGAUAACAGAAACGACUACGUGAUUGUGAAAUCAGUCUUGGCUGGUAUUUUAUGCGUUUUUUAUAUUCUUGAUUCUAUCCUGAUUUUUAUCAGGUGGGUAAUGGAGAAAAGAAGGCGAAAUUCAAGCUUAUCAGAUAGCAUCGAUAUGUAGCAAUUCAUGAAAACAAAAGGAUUUGUACGUGCAAUUUUGUUUAAAUGUAUCGAACGCAAGAUACAUUUAAAAUAUCCAUUGGGAUUGAAAAUUUAAUCAGUGUUUCUAGGGGGUAAGGGAAUACUUACUUGUGGUAUUCUCAAUUUUACUCUAAAAUCACAUACAAAUAUAUCAACUGC
rnacentral:misc_RNA from 1 species